AUUACAAAAGAGGGCUUGGGAUUCAGUGCUGUAGAGGAGGUCAUGGCAGGGGAAGGGACAAUAAGUAAUGACAGGCAAAAAACAAAAAAAAUCAGUAAAAUAUUUCUAAAUAUAUAAAAGAAAAAAACUUCCUGAAGGAUAAUGAACAGGGUAAUUUUAUUACCACUUUGUUAAAUUUAAGAGCCCUGUGAAGAAUAACUAUGUGGAAAAGGUACAUUUGAAUUCAAGAUUUGACAUAACAUUUUUGUUCUUUUUAUGUGAAAAUGUUUGUGCUUAUUGACAGGACUUAAGUUCAUGAUUUGAAAACAGGAAAUUUAGAAAAUAAGUAAAUAAAUCAUAUGGCUUUAUGCUUUUUUUAUGCCAUCAUACCUUCUUUGCAGACCAUGCAAUUCUUCCUGGCCCUUGUCGCCUUGGGAGGAAUAGCCUGCAGUUUCCAUGGGGUACAUUCUUACGAGUCCCACAAUUUUGGACCAGGCCAUUUCUCCAUUUUUAAGAGCCCUGAAGAGAGAAUCGAGGGUUUACAGUUCUUCUUUGGACCAAUAGUUGGCCUUUUAAAAGGUGUAAAACUAAGAAUAAGUAAUCAAUGGACUAAAACAUAUGGACACGCAAACGGAAAGCUUGAUGAAUUCGUCCUCCGGAAAAAUGAAAACAUUAAAAAAAUAACAACCUUUAGUAAGCUGUGCAUCCGUGGUAUAGAGAUAGAAACCGAUGCUGGAAGAACUUUUAAAGCUGGGAAUCCCAAUGGGCAGAGGUCCACUAUCUUUCCCCCUGAGAAGGGGAUGGUAUUCAAUGGCAUCACUGGUUAUUUUGACCUUAUAUGUAUCAAAAGAAUGAUAUUUCACUGGACACACAUUCUUCAAACAAUCCCCACACCUGAAGUAACUACAGAAGAGAAGGGUCCUGAAAACACCUCAACUGCACGUGCUAAAACCACUCAAGCUGAACCUGCUAAAACCACUCCAGUUGCACCUGCUAACACCACCCCAGCUGCAACUGCUAAAACCACUCCAGCUGCAUCUGAUGAAAACACCCCAACUGCAACUGCUGAAAAUACCCCAGCUUCACCUACUGGAAACCUCCUAGCUGCACCUUGUAGCAAUGGGAACAAGAAUUCACCAAAGUUCUAGUGAGCCCCUAUUGAAGACACCUCAAUUUAACAACUGCACUGCUUAGCAUCUUACAACUAUUGGCCACUAUACUAAGUCAUCUAUCCCUUCUAGGAAAAGAUUUAAAGCUGUAGUUAUUCUGAGUUGCUUUUUUUAAAGACUAUAUAUACCAUAACCUGGACUAUACUUCCAGAGACCUGGAACCAAUGGCUGGCCUAAGGAUCCUGGAAUCUAGAAGGAGAGAGUAACCAUGACCCAGGUGAUGUGACUCCCCAAGAAAAUGCUGGUCUAAAAAAGUAAAGGGAAGGAAAAAAAUUAAGACUGUGAGAAAAUCCAGAGGGGAUUUAAGAGUCUAAUCAAUUAAUAAAGCUUCUGCAAAAGCUAUAUCCCAGUUUGUAACUGUGUUCUUUGUUGGGAAAUGAAUCUGGGAGUAAUGAGAGCAGAUGUGGUAACAACAGAAGCUCUCAC
ensembl:lncRNA